rnacentral:rRNA from 1 species
GAUCAUGGCUCAGGAUGAACGCUAGCUACAGGCUUAACACAUGCAAGUCGAGGGGGCAGCAUCAUCAAAGCUUGCUUUGAUGGAUGGCGACCGGCGCACGGGUGAGUAACACGUAUCCAACCUGCCGACAACACUGGGAUAGCCUUUCGAAAGAAAGAUUAAUACCGGAUGGCAUAGUUUUCCCGCAUGGGAUAAUUAUUAAAGAAUUUCGGUUGUCGAUGGGGUAUGCGUUCCAGUUAGG